AUACAACUGACGAAUCUCAAAUAGGACGAAACGUGCGUCCUGGAU
rnacentral:hammerhead_ribozyme from 1 species